rnacentral:lncRNA from 1 species
AUGCAGGCAGGCAGUGUUCAAAGAAGAUUUUUACUUUCCUCUGUCCCUUACUCAUAGUCUAAUAACUUACUGCAAAACUCAAUGUAUCAUUUAGGCCGGGUGUGGUAACUCACACCUGUUAUCUCAGCACUUUGGGAGGCCGAGAGGGGUAGAUCACUUGAGGCCAGGAGUCCGAGACCAGCCUGGCCAACAUAGCGAAACCCCGUCUCUACUAAAAAUANNNNNNNNNNNNNNNNNNNNNUACACAUCCACAAUCAAGAGACUUGGCUGAUAAUUGAUAAACAGUGGCACUGAUUUUGCAUACCUUAGGUUUUGCAGGUGGGGUCCUGGGCCAGGAGGGUGCUGCUGUGGAGGUGGUGUAGCGGAGGGUGGAGCACUAAAGAAGGCACGGAAGCCUGGUGCUGGGGGAAGCAUCUGCCCAACUCGCCCUUGUAGCAACUUGGGAUUCAUGGCAGCAAGUGGACUACCAACAAAUCCAGGGACCCGUGCAAACUGGCUGGGAGACAUCCGUCCAGGCUGUAGCUACAAAGAGGAAGAAGAUCUUAGAUUUAGACAAUCAGCAAGUCCCCUUGCUUUUGUCUACAGAAAAGUGAAUACGGUUUUCCAUCAAUAACUUUGUUUGAAAAAGUAAAGGCAAAAAUAAAAGUAGUGAUUAACAGCAAAAAAAGGGGCUAUUAUCUAAUGAACUUUAGGAAAGUAGGAGAGUUCUUUAUGGGUAGGGCUAAUCACAGGCUUACCUGUGCUCCUCCAAGAAGCUGUGCUCUCUGGAGGGGGCUGAGAACAGGAGGAACACUAGGAGGAAAAGGGUGACCCAGGAGGGAAGAGUUCUAAGGUAAAAAAAAAAAAAAAAAAAAGAAUAUGCUAUAAAACAGGGGGUACAUCAUAAUAAGGAAACUCAGCAGAAAUGCAGUAUAAACUUGGAUAUAAAAACUCUCAAAUUAUAGAGUCAAGCUCUGGAAUAGAAAAAAAGAGUAAUGCUAGAAAUUAUAAAAACACCAUGACCAUGUGACAUGAAAAAGAAGCAGUAGAACAUGGGACUGAAAUGGUAGAAACCAGAUGAUCACAAUGAGUUUAGAUUUUUAAAGGUAAGAAAAGAGCUGAUGUAAGAAAUAACUGUCCUCUGACCUGGGGACAAUUAGAUCCAGCAAUUUAAGUAAGGAGAUUAUAAAAAAUAGGUAUAAUUUAGGAGAUGUCAGCAAAUCUAAAUACUGGCAGUGAUCUUACAAAUAGUGAUCAGAAAACACAUACUGCACAUUUUUGUUAGGCUUAAAGUGACAUACCGGGACACUGCAGAGCUGGUUUGGAGACAUCCUCUCACCAUAGGGAGCAGGAUAACGAGGUGGCAUUGGGGGCCGAACAUGGACAGGCUUUGGACACAGAAUCUAUCAGGACAAACAUAUAUACAACUACACUCAAUGAAAUCAGUUUUUCUUCCACCUACACUCCCUCCCCUCAAGUACUGGUAGAGACACGAACUCAAUGCAAAGCCCUACUUCUAAGCAAAUUGCUAUGGCUACAGGUUCAAAUACAGAACCUUGGGCCACUUUCUCUCACAAAUCAAGUAAAGUGUCAGCAUUAACUGAGGAAGAUUUAGCUAAUUCUCCAGUUAUCCCCACCCUUCCAUGCUGUCUGAGGGAGAUACCAGCAGAUAUUCUGACUUGCAAAUUCUCUCCAAGAGGAUAUAUUUUGGUAGCACUGAGGGAGAAGGAAUGAUAAGAAAGCUGGAGGAUUAACUAAGUCCUAUUCUGAAGCCCCUGUGAUAUGGCCGCCAUGCUCAGCACUUUUGUGAUACAUUGUGACUCCACCAUUUCAUAGGAUUUGAGCCUAACUAGGCCAUACCAACACCACCCUCCCCCCAUACCUUCCAAAUUGGCCUUCCUUUUCAGCUGCUGGUUUCAGGUGGAGGAAAGUCUAUGGAACAGGACUGCACAGGCUCUAGGGAAAGCAGGGAUAUCUUAAAGGUAAAAAGGGAUGUGGACAAUGCUGUGUGUUCCCACUCCCCCCAGCUUUCAGUUAUCUCUCUGACAAUGUUUUGGGCAGCCAGCAAAACACUUUAAAAAGGAUAUAUGUGAUAAAUGUGGCUAACUACCCUUUUUUCUCCCCCAAUUAAAAGGCAGCAGCAAUAGCAGCAGCAAAGAGUAUCAGGGAAUGUGUCUCUUAUUUGUACUAAUUUCUCCUCUAACUAGCUAUUUUUCUUUCUAAUCUAAUGCCUACCCAAAAUUUCCACCCUCCACCCAACAUCACCAAUUUUCCAAAUAAUUUUGCCCAGAUUCCCAAUAUCCUGGGCUGUGUGCUUGUUAAUGAGAGGUACCUGUUGGGUGAAGCUGGGUACAGCCAUCUGUUUAGGUGGGGUGCCUAUGGGGACAGCUCUAACAGGAGGACUGCCAAUGAUAGGUGAAGUUGACCGCCUUGGUAAUGCACGUUCAGAAAGGUCCCGAUCAUCUUCUGGACCCUGGGGGGGCCUCUGAGGCAAAGCAUAUUCUAAUACAGACACUGUAGGCAUUUCCUAAUUGAGGAAGUGGUAAAAUAAAAUAGAAAUUAACUAACUUGGUAUGUUUUAGUAAUCUCUACAGAUGCCAAAAAUACCUUAAGAAAUUUUUUUAACUUUUUAUUUAUUUUUAAUUCACAUAUAGUAAAAUUCACUUUUUGGUAUAUGGUUCUCUGAGUUUGGUAAGCGGCUCAUGCCUGAAAUCCCAGCGCCUUGGGAGGGUGAGGUGGGAGGAUCACUUGAAGCCAGGAGUUUGAGACUAGCCUGGGCAACACAGCGAGACUUCAUCUAUACAAAAAUAAAAAAAUUUAGCCAGGCAUGGUGGCAUGCACCUGUAAGUCUCAGCUACUCAAGAGGCUGAGGUGGGAGGAUCACUUGAGCCCAGAAGUUCAAAUUUACAGAGAGCUAUGACUGUACCAGUGCACUCUAGCCUGGUUGACACAGCAAGACCUGGUCUCAAAAAAAAAAAAAAAAAAGAAAGAAAGAGCAAGAACAGUUGCAUCACUCCCCAGAAAUUCCGUUGUAUUGUUCCUUUGUAGUUAACGCCUCCUGCCAUGUCCAACCACUAGUAAACACUGAUGACCUCUCUGUCCCUAUAGUUUUGCAUAGAAAUGAGUUGNNNNNNNNNNNNNNNNNNNNNNNNNNNNNNNNNNNNNNNGGCUGGAGUGCAGUGGCGCAAUCUUGCCUUACUACAACUUCCGCCCUGCCUCCCAGGUUCAAGUGAUUCUCCUGCCUCAGCCUCCUGAGUAGCUGGGAUUACAGGUGCCCACCACCACACCUGGUUAAUUUUUAUGUUUUUAGUAAAGAUGGGGUUUCACCAUGUUGGCCAGGCUGGUCUCGAACUCCUCACCUCAAGUGAUCCACCCGUCUCAGCCUCUCAAAGUGCUGGGAUUACACGGGUGAGCCACCGCGCCUGGCUCAGAUAUGACUUUUUAAGUGAUUCAAAUCAUAAUCAUACACUAACAAAUUUAAAUUCCAAUGGCUCCCUUGCAACCUUUACCCUGGAGGCUAAAGAAAGGCAUAGCUAAGUGCUGGAUGCAGUAGUCGACAUAAUUCUAGCAAAUGAAAGACCUAUAAACCCCUUCAGUAAGGAAAGGAUGACGACAGGAACUUAAAAUUUUUGGAUAUUAUAAAUUUUAUGUAAAGAGAAAAUAUUUAAUACCUGAGCAAGCAGUGGUCCUCGGAUUCGCCUCAGAACUUCAGAUCCAUCCCAGAUACUGGAAUUCAGACUUCCUGGUUGGGGCUAACAAAAAAGGAAAACAUACAGAGUCUGAAAUGCUGUAUACUCUCUGGGUGACUUAUCUGCUGCUGGGGAACAAGGUUCCAAAAGAGCCUCAAGCUGCUUUAGAAUAUGAAAUUAUAGGGCUCCAGAAUAUACAUUAUUCCCCAAGUUUAUCUCUAGAACUGCUAUCAUCAGGAAAUACAUUAUCAAUUUUCUAUGGCAUAUGUAAAUCUCUCAUUAUAAUAGAUAAAAUAAAAUGGCAAAGUUCAAUACUUCACUUUAAUUUUUAGUCUGCUAUAGUUCUCAAAUCACAGUAAUUUACUUACUUGUAAAACUGGCCUGGUCUGCACUGCCCUCAUAAUAGCUGGAUCUUCUAGUUCAUUUUCAAUCACCAUCUUACUGAGCCUUUCUGCCAGAUUCUCCUCAUGGUCACCCAACAAGUCCAUUUCAUCUCUCUCUCCAUUGCCUGUUUGUUCAUUAACUGCCACUGGGAGCUUUUCUUCCAAUUCAGCCAGGCGCUCAUGUGCUUCCUGCCAAUCAUCAUCUAUAAGAUGACACAGUUCAUGUAAGAAAUAGUUCAUAGUGGUACAAAAAAGUUUUACACAAUUAUUCUGUUUUUUUUUUUCAGACAGAGUCUCACUCUGUCGCCC